GACGAACGCUGGCGGCGUGCUUAACACAUGCAAGUCGAGCGGUAAGGCCCUUCGGGGUACACGAGCGGCGAACGGGUGAGUAACACGUGGGUGGUCUACCCUGUACUUCGGGAUAAGCCUGGGAAACUGGGUCUAAUACCGAAUAGGACCACGCGCUGCAUGGUGUGUGGUGGAAAGAUUUUGCGGUGUGGGAUGGGCCCGCGGCCUAUCAGCUUGUUGGCGGGGUGAUGGCCUACCAAGGCGACGACGGGUAGCCGGCCUGAGAGGGUGACCGGCCACACUGGGACUGAGAUACGGCCCAGACUCCUACGGGAGGCAGCAGUGGGGAAUAUUGCACAAUGGGCGCAAGCCUGAUGCAGCGACGCCGCGUGAGGGAUGACGGCCUUCGGGUUGUAAACCUCUUUCGCCAGGGACGAAGCGCAAGUGACGGUACCUGGAGAAGAAGGACCGGCCAACUACGUGCCAGCAGCCGCGGUAACAC
rnacentral:rRNA from 1 species